rnacentral:rRNA from 1 species
CGCCUGUUGAUUAUAAUUUUAGGUCUGACCUGCCCAAUGAGGUUUUGAAUGGCCGCGGUAAACUGACCGUGCAAAGGUAGCAUAAUCACUAGUUUUUUAAUUGAAAGCUUGUAUGAAAGGUUUGAUGGAGAAGCAUCUGUCUCUUUGAGAAUUUACUAGAAUUUUAUUUUUAAGUAAGAAAGCUUAAAUAUAUAUGAAAGACGAGAAGACCCUAUAGAGUUUAAUAUUUAGGCAGAGGGGGGCGUUGAUGGAGUAAGUAGCGUUUUUUUUUGUCUAAUUAUUUUGUUGGGGUGAUAGGAAAAUUGAAUGAACUUUUCUUGUUUAAGCACACUUAUUUGUGGUUAGUUGAUCCUGGAUUUUAGAUUAAAAGAAUAAACUACCUUAGGGAUAACAGCGUAAUUCUUUUUAGAGUUCUUAUCGAAAAAAGAGAUUGCGACCUCGAUGUUGGAUUAAAAUAAAUUUUAGGUGUAGGAGCUUAAAUAUUAGGUCUGUUCGACCUUUGAAAUUUUACAUGAUCUGAGUUUAAACCGGUGUGAG